rnacentral:tRNA from 1 species
GUGGUUGUAGGUUAGUGGUAUAACACUUGCCUCUCAAGUGUGAGGCCCUGGGUUCAACCUUCAGCACCACA